rnacentral:rRNA from 1 species
AAUAGAGAAAUAACGCUGAUGAUUGUGGAUAACUCUGUGCGUAAAAAGGUAUAAAGCGGGGUUUUGCUGGGGAAUGCAGCAGUCAGUCAUUUUUCUGCAAUUUUUCUAUUGCGGCCUGCGGAGAACUCCCUAUAAUGCGCCUCCAUCGACACGGCGGAUGUGAAUCACUUCACACAAACAGCCGGUUCGGUUGAAGAGAAAAAUUCUGAAAUUCAGGGUUGACUCUGAAAGAGGAAAGCGUAAUAUACGCCACCUCGCGACAGUGAGCUGAAAGCCGCGUCGCAACUGCUCUUUAACAAUUUAUCAGACAAUCUGUGUGGGCACUCGAAGAUACGGAUUCUUAACGUCGCAAGACGAAAAAUGAAUACCAAGUCUCAAGAGUGAACACGUAAUUCAUUACGAAGUUUAAUUCUUUGAGCAUCAAACUUUUAAAUUGAAGAGUUUGAUCAUGGCUCAGAUUGAACGCUGGCGGCAGGCCUAACACAUGCAAGUCGAACGGUAACAGGAAGAAGCUUGCUUCUUUGCUGACGAGUGGCGGACGGGUGAGUAAUGUCUGGGAAACUGCCUGAUGGAGGGGAUAACUACUGGAAACGGUAGCUAAUACCGCAUAACGUCGCAAGACCAAAGAGGGGGACCUUCGGGCCUCUUGCCAUCGGAUGUGCCCAGAUGGGAUUAGCUAGUAGGUGGGGUAACGGCUCACCUAGGCGACGAUCCCUAGCUGGUCUGAGAGGAUGACCAGCCACACUGGAACUGAGACACGGUCCAGACUCCUACGGGAGGCAGCAGUGGGGAAUAUUGCACAAUGGGCGCAAGCCUGAUGCAGCCAUGCCGCGUGUAUGAAGAAGGCCUUCGGGUUGUAAAGUACUUUCAGCGGGGAGGAAGGGAGUAAAGUUAAUACCUUUGCUCAUUGACGUUACCCGCAGAAGAAGCACCGGCUAACUCCGUGCCAGCAGCCGCGGUAAUACGGAGGGUGCAAGCGUUAAUCGGAAUUACUGGGCGUAAAGCGCACGCAGGCGGUUUGUUAAGUCAGAUGUGAAAUCCCCGGGCUCAACCUGGGAACUGCAUCUGAUACUGGCAAGCUUGAGUCUCGUAGAGGGGGGUAGAAUUCCAGGUGUAGCGGUGAAAUGCGUAGAGAUCUGGAGGAAUACCGGUGGCGAAGGCGGCCCCCUGGACGAAGACUGACGCUCAGGUGCGAAAGCGUGGGGAGCAAACAGGAUUAGAUACCCUGGUAGUCCACGCCGUAAACGAUGUCGACUUGGAGGUUGUGCCCUUGAGGCGUGGCUUCCGGAGCUAACGCGUUAAGUCGACCGCCUGGGGAGUACGGCCGCAAGGUUAAAACUCAAAUGAAUUGACGGGGGCCCGCACAAGCGGUGGAGCAUGUGGUUUAAUUCGAUGCAACGCGAAGAACCUUACCUGGUCUUGACAUCCACAGAACU